AUUGAACGCUGGCGGCAUGCUUUACACAUGCAAGUCGAACGGCAGCACGGGGGCAACCCUGGUGGCGAGUGGCGAACGGGUGAGUAAUGCAUCGGAACGUGCCCAGUCGUGGGGGAUAACGCAGCGAAAGCUGUGCUAAUACCGCAUACGAUCUAUGGAUGAAAGCGGGGGACCGUAAGGCCUCGCGCGAUUGGAGCGGCCGAUGUCAGAUUAGGUAGUUGGUGGGGUAAAGGCUCACCAAGCCAACGAUCUGUAGCUGGUCUGAGAGGACGACCAGCCACACUGGGACUGAGACACGGCCCAGACUCCUACGGGAGGCAGCAGUGGGGAAUUUUGGACAAUGGGCGCAAGCCUGAUCCAGCAAUGCCGCGUGCAGGAAGAAGGCCUUCGGGUUGUAAACUGCUUUUGUACGGAACGAAAAGGUUUGGGUUAAUACCCUGGGCCGAUGACGGUACCGUAAGAAUAAGCACCGGCUAACUACGUGCCAGCCGCCGCCGUAACAC
rnacentral:rRNA from 1 species